AUGAUCGCCUUGAAUACUAUCCUUUCCUUAGGAAUAGCAGGAAAGAUCAGAUCCAUGAAGACUAUGGGUCAGGGGUCAGGAUAUUUAGUUAAACCCGCCCCAGUCUUUAACCUGGGAAUAAAAUAUUUAAAAAAGAUCCUCCCGGAAAAGCUUGAACGUGUCGAGCAGAAGUCUUUCCAAAGCCAAGUAUGGUAUUUUCUAUCUUAUUUGUCAGCAAUUCAAGGAAUUGGAUUUCUUUCAUGCCUUACUUUCAAAGGUUGGGUUCUCUCUGGGCGGUUGAGCCCUAUCCUUUGCUCUAAGAGGGUUGGGCUGCUCAGUAGGGCUUGCCUUGACUGUAGACUUUACUUUACGAGCACUGCUCACAUACCAAAACCAUAUGAUGCCUCUCAGCGAGGGGACAUCAGGCUCUGA